UCCGCGCUGGGAGGCGACGCGGCGUGGCCGCGGCCUCUGCUCGGUCACAACAAACACGGCGCUCGCGCCGCUCCUCCUGCACUUUUCUGCGACAUAAUUUCCGGCUCUGAAAGCGGCAAAUGUGCGCACAGGGCGUUAAUAGAGCAACGUGGCGGCGGGAUUUGUGGAGAUUACGGAUGGCAGAGCCCCCCAUGUCCUGUGACUGUUUUGUGUCCUUGCCCCCUGGCUCUCGGGAUGACCACGUCAUUUUUGGGAAAAACUCUGACCGUCCCCGGGAUGAGGUGCAGGAGGUCGCCUACUAUCCUGCGGCAUCAAAUCCUCCAGACUCCAUGUUGGAGUGCACGUUUAUCCAAAUCCCUCAAGUAGAGCAGACUCAUGCUGUCGUCCUCAGCAAACCUGCCUGGAUGUGGGGUGCCGAGAUGGGAGCCAAUGACCAAGGGGUGUGUAUUGGUAAUGAGGCAGUCUGGACCAAAGAGCCCGUGUCCCCCGGAGAGGCUCUGCUAGGCAUGGACCUGGUUCGGCUGGGGCUGGAGCGUGGUGACAGCGCCCGGGCGGCGCUGACGGUGAUCACCGACCUCCUGGAGCAGCACGGCCAGGGGGGCCAAUGCAGGGAGGAUCCCGAGCCCUUCAGCUACCACAACACCUUCCUGCUGGUGGACCGCCAUGAGGCGUGGGUGCUGGAAACCGCUGGAAGGCUCUGGGUGGCGCAGAAAGUGUCAGAGGGCGUAAAGAACAUCUCCAACCAGCUGACGAUUAGCACAGAGAUCUCAGCCGAGCACCCAGAGCUGCGGAGCGUGGCCCAGGCUCAGGGCUGGUGGGACGGCCAAGAAGAGUUCAACUUUUCUCAGACUUUUAGCCCAGAGAACCCUCCUACCAGGAUGGAGCUAGCCAAGCAGCGCUACAAAGGAGGCACUGCACUGAUCCAACAGCACAAUGGCUCAAUGACAGCAGAGGUGAUGAUGUCCAUUCUGAGGGAUAAACCCAGUGGGAUCUGCAUGGACUCUGGGGGGUUUUGCACCACAGGCAGCAUGGUGUCCGUCCUACCUAGAGACAUGAACCUGCCUUGCAUUCACUUCUUCACUGCCACCCCCGACCCAUCAAGGUCCAUUUUCAAGCCUUUUAUCUUCUCGGAUUGUCCCACCCGAGUGCUGAGGGUGGUCUCCCCACAGUUCGGCCCGGACGACCCCGUCAGGAAGCAGCCGCGUUUCCGGAGCCGCGUGGACCGCAGACACGACCUGUACAAGGCCCACCAGGUGGCGCUGAGCAACAUGGAGAGCAAGCCGGAUGAAGGUCUAGCCGUCUACGACAUCCUGAGAGAUCUGGAGUCCCAGUGUCUGAGUGAGAUAUCAGCCAUGCUCAACGGGGAGAUACCAGGAGACGAGCUGGGAGACCUGUUCUUUGACUGUGUAGACACAGAGAUUAAGUUCUACCAGUGAGAAGGUAGGAGCGUUUUAAUGUCUGCGUGGGUGGAUCUUCACUUCCUCUUUGGUUUGAAUUCACUUAAGACAACAAAAAUAGGAUAUAGUAGUUUUACAGUGAUGAGGAUGUUUCACCGCAAUGACCUGAGUUGAAAUUCCCGCCAAAGUCAGCUUCCAAAUCCCCAGCCGGCUACUCUAAAACGGAGUGGCUUCUCAUCGUGGCAGCGGGCUAUAACUUUGCACCCAGAAUAUUCGGACUAAAUUUAAAAUGUAUGUGUGAGAGAUCGAGGGGCCAGAGAGGACAACAGAAGUUUGUCAAAAAAUUAAAGUUUUUAAUUUUUCUCAAAAAAUGUAAAACGAUUAACAAACUGGGCCCUUAAAAAAGCUCAACAUAAGCAUAAUGAACUCAGGCAACCAACUUAACUUUAACAUAAGAAACUGAACAGACCAAGUAACAGAAACAAACUGACCUAAUGAGAGCUGACAUGCUCGUGUUUCAGGCCACCCAGUGGUUAUUUGCUGAACUGACCCAACUCCAGGUACUUUUAUUUAUUAAUUGGCCUCAAAGAGGAAGUCAAAGUGUUCUUCUUUAGUCCAAUUUGGUGCUCUAAGCCAAACCUUUUCCUGAUAUGCUUGACGCUGCUUCUCAUUAUUGUGUUCAUUUCAAUAAGCAGAGAUGUUAGGAAUGAGAGUAAAGAUUUAUUGUGUUACGGAAAAAUAAGUCUGUAAUCUUUGGUGGUUAGGCUCCGGAUGAGCUUAAACCAUAGAUGUGCCAACCCAAGAGCCUAGACAGUGAUGGUGGUUAAAGGUCAGACCGUUCUAUUGGUUCAUAAAGAAGGCUUAAUUGAUGAUGAUGUGUUAGUGAGGUAGAACUUCCUUAUUGAAAUUGCACCAGUGUUGGUAUUUUAAAAUCAAAGUGAAACUUUAAGAGUUUUAAGCUUAAAAUAAACUAAUAUAAAACUAAGACUACUAAAGACUAAUCCACACCCAAAAAAACAACACUUGUAAAACGUCAACUAAACAUGGACUUUUUACUGUUUGUUAUAAUUAUUUUAAAACAGACACUCUCUUCUAACUUUACGACUGAGUUUUAGGGCUACCAAAAAAAAAA